CUCUCUCUCUCUCUCUCACACACACACACACACACACACACACACACACACACACAGAUCCACGCGGAGCACCGACUCAGGUGCCGCCAUGGACCAGGAGGGGAACGUGAAGAGGACAACUAGAAACAGAGGGUGGUUACCGUAGUAACUGGAUCUCUCCUCUUCACCUCUGUGCCUGGUGAUGCUGUCUCUCCAUCUGGCUUCUCUUCUCUCGCUUCUAGAUACACUACCUCUACACUGAUAGUGGAUGACACAGAAACAGGAGGGGCUGGUUUCUCAUCUUUUCACCCUAACUGAGAAGGGAACCUUAUUCUCCGACACUCUCCUUGUCAGGACGGAACCCUACACUUUUUCCCUUUCCUUAUCUUUUUCUCUGAGAUCGUUGGCUUCCACUUCCCUGGGAUUUCUAACGUUUUUAUUCCGCCAUGGCUCACGCAGCCUCCGCAUUGAAGAAGAACCGGGACGUGGAUGUCAAUGCUAUCGAGGAUGAGAAAGAAAAGAAAAGGAGAAUUAAGAAACUUGCGUCCCGGGAACAAAAGAGAAAGUCGGACAGCAAUGCCAGUUACCUGCGAGCAGCGCGGGCUGGGAACCUUGAAAAGGCCCUGGACUACCUGAAGUCUGGGGUGGAAAUCAACAUCUGCAACCAGAAUGGAUUGAACGCUCUUCAUCUGGCCUCUAAGGAGGGUCAUGUGGAGGUGGUGGCUGAGCUGCUGAAGCUAGAAGCCAAUGUGGACGCAGCAACCAAGAAAGGAAACACCGCUCUUCACAUAGCCUCCCUGGCCGGCCAAACGGAAGUGGUGAAAGAGCUGGUCACCAAUGGAGCCAAUGUCAACGCACAGUCUCAGAAUGGCUUCACCCCACUGUACAUGGCUGCCCAGGAGAACCAUCUGGAGGUGGUACGCUUCCUGCUGGGACACAACUCCAGCCAGAGUAUGGCCACCGAGGACGGGUUCACUCCUCUGGCGGUGGCCCUGCAGCAGGGGCAUGACCAGGUGGUGUCUCUGCUCCUGGAGAAUGACACCAAGGGCAAGGUCCGCCUGCCAGCCCUGCACAUCGCCGCCCGCAAGGACGACACCAAGGCUGCAGCGUUACUUAUCCAGAACGACCACAAUGCAGAUGUCGAGUCCAAGAUGAUGGUGAAUAGAACGACAGAGAGCGGCUUCACUCCUCUCCACAUCGCUGCUCACUAUGGCAACAUCAACGUGGCCACGCUUCUGCUGAACCGAGGGGCCGCUGUGGACUUCAUGGCCAGGAAUGACAUCACACCUCUCCAUGUGGCAUCUAAAAGAGGAAAUAGUAAUAUGGUCAAAUUGCUGUUGGACAGAGGCUCCAAAAUAGAUGGCAAGACCAAGGACGGACUGACACCUCUUCACUGUGGAGCGAGGAGCGGUCAUGAACAAGUGGUUGAGAUUCUGCUGGACCGCGGAGCACCCAUUCUGUCCAAGACAAAGAACGGGCUGUCCCCUUUGCACAUGGCCACUCAGGGCGACCACAUCAACUGUGUCCAGCUACUCCUCCAGAAUGACGUCCCUGUCGAUGAUGUGACCAAUGACUACCUGACAGCGCUACACGUGGCAGCCCACUGUGGACACUACAAAGUGGCCAAGCUCAUAGUGGACAAGAAAGCCAACCCAAAUGCUAAAGCACUGAACGGCUUCACCCCGCUUCACAUCGCCUGCAAGAAGAACCGCGCCAAAGUGAUGGAGCUGCUGCUGAAACACGGCGCAUCGAUCCAGGCUGUGACCGAGUCUGGACUUACUCCUAUCCACGUGGCAGCCUUCAUGGGACAUGAUAACAUUGUCAACUCUCUGACACAUCACGGAGCUUCACCCAACACCACCAACGUGAGGGGUGAGACAGCGCUGCACAUGGCAGCACGGGCGGGUCAGGCGGACGUGGUGCGAUACCUGCUGCAGAAUGGAGCUAAUGUGGAGACCAAGGCCAAGGACGACCAGACGGCGCUGCACAUCUCUAGCCGGCUGGGGAAGGCUGACAUCGUCCAGCAGCUGCUGCAGCGGGGGGCUUCUGCCAAUGCUGCCACCACGUCAGGCUACACACCCCUCCACCUGGCUGCCCGCGAGGGCCACGAGGACGUAGCCGCCAUGCUGCUGGACCAGGGUGCAUCGCUCUCAGCCUCCACUAAGAAAGGGUUCAGUCCUCUUCACGUGGCAGCCAAGUAUGGGAAGAUGGAAGUGGCCAGCCUGCUUCUUCAGAAGAGAGCAGCUCCAGAUGCAGCUGGAAAGAGUGGGCUAACUCCACUGCAUGUAGCUGCUCACUACGAUAAUCAGAGAGUGGCUCUACUGCUUCUGGAUCAGGGAGCAUCUCCCCACGCUUCCGCCAAGAAUGGCUACACACCCCUCCACAUAGCUGCCAAGAAGAACCAGAUGGACAUAGGGACCACGCUACUGGAAUACGGGGCAGACACCAACGCUGUGACCCGCCAGGGCAUCAGUCCUGUUCACCUGGCUGCACAGGAGGGCAGUGUGGACCUGGUCUCUCUGCUCCUCUCCAAGAACGCCAAUGUCAACAUGGGCAACAAGAGCGGCCUCACACCCCUCCACUUAGCAGCGCAGGAGGACAAAGUCAACGUGGCAGAAGUCCUGCUCAACCAGGGGGCGGACAUCGACCCCGAGACAAAGAUGGGAUACACUCCGCUGCAUGUGGCUUGUCACUAUGGCAACAUCAAGAUGGCAAACUUCCUCUUACAGAACCAGGCCAGAGUUGAUGGCAAAACAAAGAACGGCUACACGCCCCUCCACCAGGCGGCGCAGCAGGGUCACACCCACAUCAUCAACCUGCUGCUGCAGCACGGAGCCUCGGCCAAUCAGCUGACCGUGAACGGGAACACAGCCUUGUCCAUUGCCCGUCGCCUUGGUUACAUCUCAGUGGUGGACACUCUCAUGCCGCUGACUGAUGAGAAUCUGACCUCUGUGACUACGACAGAAAAACACAAAAUGAACGUCCCCGAGACCAUGAAUGAGUUUCUGGACAUGUCUGAAGACGAAGUUAAGGCUAAUGUGCCGGAAAUUCUCAAUGAGGACUGUAUUUCAGAUGUUGACGAAGGUGAGGAUGCAAUGACCGGAGACACUGACAAAUAUCUGCGGCCCCAGGACCUCAAGGAGCUGGGGGACGACUCUCUCCCGCAGGAGGGCUACAUGGGGUUCAGCAUAGGAGUCCGCUCAGCAAGCCCUAGGAUCAGCCUCCGCUCCUUCAGUUCGGAUAGGUCCAACACCCUCAACCGCAGCUCCUACGCACGGGACAGCAUGACGAUAGAGGAGAUCCUCGCCCCGACCAAGGACACACUUCAGAGUGUCUGUAAAGACCUUUCCUACUUGGUUGACCCUCUCAAUAAGCACCUGGCUAUAACCCGGGACUACGAUGCAGAGUGCCUGAGGCGCUACAGCUGGACCCCAGACACCAUGGACCACAGCAACACUGUGUCCAGCCCUAUUCACUCAGGCUUGUCCUCCCCGCUCCCUCAGUAUGACUCCAGAUUCCUGGUUAGCUUCAUGGUGGAUGCUCGUGGGGGGUCCAUGAGAGGAAGCCGAAGCAACGGCAUGCGUAUCAUCAUCCCGCCCCGGAAGUGCACGGCUCCCACCCGCAUCACCUGCCGCCUGGCCAAGAGGCACAAGCUGGCCUACCCCCCGCCCAUGGUGGAGGGAGAGGGCCUGGUCAGCCGGCUGGUUGAGGUCGGUCCUGCAGGAGCCCAGUUUCUGGGCCCUGUAAUCGUGGAGAUUCCUCAUUUUGGCUCCAUGAGGGGGAAGGAGAGGGAGCUGAUCGUACUCAGGAGCGACAAUGGUGACACAUGGAAGGAACACCAGUACGACUGCCAUCCAAGUGACAUCACAGACAUUCUGAACGGGAUGGACGAAGAACUGGACAGCAAUGCUGAGCUGGAGAAGAAGCGGAUUUGUCGGAUCAUCACCAGGGACUUCCCCCAGUACUUUGCGGUGGUGUCCAGGAUCAAGCAGGAGAGUAACCACAUGGGUCCAGAGGGUGGAACGCUGACCAGCCAGACAGUGCCCAUGGUCCAGGCUUCGUUCCCACAGGGGGCGCUCACCAAGAAGAUACGCGUUGGCCUGCAGGCUCAGCCCGUCCCAGACGACAUGGUGAGGAAUCUUCUCGGCAACAGGGCCACCUUCAGCCCUAUAGUUACCGUGGAGCCCAGGAGGAGGAAGUUCCACAAGCCCAUUACCAUGACGAUCCCUGUUCCGCCCCGAUCUGCAGAAGGCCACCCCAGUGGACACAGGGGGGACUCCACCCCCUGCCUGCGCCUCCUCUGCAGCAUCACAGGUGGAACAUCUCCUGCCCAGUGGGAGGACAUCACAGGGACCACUCCCCUGUCCUUUGUCACAGACUGUGUUUCCUUCACAACAAAUGUGUCGGCCAGGUUCUGGCUUACAGACUGUCACCAGACUCCUGAGACGGUCAGUCUGGCCUCUCAGCUAUACCGGGAGCUGAUCUGUGUGCCAUACCUGGCCAAGUUUGUGGUGUUUGCCAAGAUGAACGAUCCUGUAGAGUCACGCCUCCGCUGCUUCUGCAUGACGGACGACAAGGUGGACAAGACUCUGGAACAACAGGAGAACUUUGAAGAGGUGGCCAGGAGCAAGGACAUUGAGGUCUUGGAGGGCAAGCCUAUCCAUGUGGAUUGCUAUGGCAACUUAUCUCCUCUUACCAAGAGUGGGCAGCAGCUGAUCUUCAACUUCUUCUCUUUCAAAGAGAACCGGCUUCCUUUCAAUGUGAAGGUCAGAGACAUGGGCCAAGAACCAUGCGGUCGACUCUCAUUCUUGAGAGAGCCAAAAACCACUAAAGGUCUUCCACAGACUGCUGUAUGUAAUUUGAAUAUCACACUGCCAACUCAUAAGAAGGACAUGAUGGAGUCUGAUCCUGAUGAUGAGACUGAAAAACCAGACCGACGUCAUACCUUUGCCUCCUUAGCUUUGCGUAAGCGCUACAGCUAUCUGACCGACCCUGCAGCGAAAACAACUGAUCGGAGCUCGCCGAGAACACAGCCUACUGGCUACACUCACAAACCUGUCUUUUCAACGAGAUCUUAUCAGGCGUGGUCGGCUGUUCCUGUCUCCGUCCCUGGCCAAGCCAAGUCUGGAUUCGGUUCCCACUCCAGUUCAUCGUCCAACACGCCCACUGCCUCUCCACUGAAGUCUGUGUGGUCCAUCACCUCAGUGUCCCCCAUCAAGUCCAACAUAGGCGGCUCACCGGCCCAUUCCAUCAAGUCAGUCAGCGACAUAGCUUCCCCCAUCAGGUCGUACAGGACCAUUUCAUCCCCAAUAAAGACUGUAGUUCAGCAGGCCCAGUACCCAGUUCAGGUUACCCCCAGUCUCCAGUCAUCGCCAGUCAGAAGCAUUCCGGACCAUGUUUCCAUCAAGGGACUGGCAGCAUUGUCUACUAGAACCUCUCCUAUCACCACUGGUGGAGGGUGUCUGCUAGAAAGGUCAUCAAUCACCAUGACGCCACCUGCUUCCCCUAAAUCCUCACUGAACAUGUACAGUUCAACUCUUCCAUUCAAGGGUGUCAUUGUGGGAACUGGCACAACAACAUCGUCCUCUCCUAUAAAAACUGUUCCUGGCCUCUCCUCUGUCCGGUCCAGUGCAGACCCCUCAAGCCCCUCAAGGAGUCUCUUUUCCUCCCUCUCAUCACCAAUUAAAUCCAACACUCCUCCUAGUGCUGCAGCUCUGAUCAAUGGAACAGUAUCCCCUACAAAGUACCGCUCCUCCUCCCCCACGUCCCUACUCUCCAGCAGCUUACAGGGGAGGAUACAGGCAACCACCAAUGCAGCAACAACAAGCGUAAAUGCAGCCUUUGACGAGGUUGAAAAAACGUUCAAUUCCUGCUCUGCCUCUGGAUAUGGCACUCUUAAGUCCAUGUCCUCCUCAGCGUCAUCCUCUUACCAGUCCAUAAGAUCCUCAGCCUCUAGUUCCCUAUAUGCCUCUUUACGGUCCCCACUAAACCCACCAAGCCCAAUGACUGUCCCAGUGUAUUCAAUUAUAAAUGUUUUGCCAGAACCCCAAUUUAAAAAGCUCCCUGAGGUGUCAAAGUCAGCUGCUGCCCUCUUGUCCCCUCGAAAAACUAUGCCUGCUGAGACAAACUCUCAAGCCCAGUCUUCCUUUGCCAGAACUCUGUCACCUGUCAAAUCCCCCUUAUUCAUGUCCCCGGCUGCCCUAAAAUCCACCACCUCAUCCCCGCUGUCCUCCAGCCAAGAGAUACUGAAGGACGUGGCAGAAAUGAAAGAGGACUUGAUACGGAUGUCUAACAUCUUGCAAACAGAACCAAGUUCAGCCUCCAAAGGAUUCCAGUCUGACUUCCCCAAAGAGGCUAGAAUGGAGGACGAGGAGCCUUACAGAAUUGUAGAGAAAGUGAAACAGGACCUGGUCAAAGUUAGUGAGAUACUAACCAAGGAUACGGUCAAGAAUAACAAGGCAGCUUUUAAAACAAAUACAACAGACGAGGUACAGUUCUCUAAACAAGUAACAGUGGAUCCCCAGCAAAGCAACUGGAGUUAUCCACCAAGAUAUGAGACAGUGGUCCCUCAAAUCAAAACUAAGUCUAUACCAGACAGAGAUUUCAAUCUAUCGAAGGUAGUAGACUACUUGACAAAUGACAUUGGCAGUAGCUCUAUCUCAAAAAUUGCAGAUGUAAAGCAUAGAUCUGAUGAGGUUAGAAGAGAAGGAGAGGAGAAACAGAAACGUAUGCUUAAACCUGAGCACAAGCUGAAAAUGCCACCCGCAAACAUGCGGUCCUCUGCCUCAGAAAAGGAGCUCUGUAAACUAGCAGAUGUGCUAUUUGGGCCUGAUGCCAUGUUAGAAUCUCCGGAUGACAUCUCACAUGACCAGGACAAGAGUCCCCUCUCAGACAGUGGCUUUGAGACAAGGAGUGAAAGGACGCCAUCUGCCCCACAGAGUGCAGAAGGCAUGGGACCCAAGACACUUUUCCAGGAUAUUCCACCAGUAAUCACGGAGACAAGGACUGAGGUUGUUCAUGUUAUUAGGAGCUAUGAGUCUCCUGAAGAUAACAAGCAACCAAUGAUGGAGGAUACAAGGGCGGUUAGAUACAUUGAUGCUGAGCCCAAAGGGCUGAAUGCAUCCAAUGUGGACCAAACAAAAGCAUUUCAGAUGAAAAUCAGCCCGGACGAUGACUCGAUGGGCAAGGGCAUGCGAGUUAAGGAAGAGACCCACAUCACAACUACUACCCGAAUGGUGUACCACAAACCCCAGAGUAAAGAGAAUACAUCAGAGAGGAUUGAAGAGUCAAUGUCAGUGCAUGAUAUCAUGAAAGCUUUCCAGUCCGGCAGGGAUCCCUCCAGAGAACUUGCUGGACUGUUUGAGCACAAGGCCGGCAACGAUGACACAUCACAGAGAGUUCUUGAAGAUAUCAGCUCAAAGCCCAAAGUUGAAAGAAUAAUUGAGGUUCACAUUGAAAAGGGCAACAAAACUGAACCAACUGAGGUCAUCAUCCGGGAGACAAAAAAUCACCCAGAGAAGGAGAUGUACUUCUACCAAGGGAACAGUGGAAUGUCACGACACGGAGAGGAGGAGCCUGAAGAAUCGCUCCCCUGUUACCUAGAGUCUUCCAGAGUAAACACGCCCAUGACACAGGAAGAUGAUAGUCAUCCAAGCUCUGAACAGCUCAUGGCAGACGACUCGUACAAAACCCUGAAGUUACUCAGCCAGCACUCUGUGGAAUAUAAUGAUGAUGAAUCAUCAGAAGUCAGAGGAGAGUCUUACAACUUUGCCGACAAAAUGCUUCUCUCUGAGAAACCAGAAUCGUCUCACUCUGACACUGAGGAGUAUUUAAGGGACAGGUCUCGUUUUCAAUCCCCAGAUAGGAGUUGUUAUAGUCAGGGAAGGUCUAGUGGAUCAAGGCAAGAAUAUAUUUUGAAGUCAUCAAACACAGACAAAUCAGGUCAAAUUGCCAAUGUAGAUGAUAACUUUGACAAACUAACACUGUUGCAGUAUUCCUCAGAACCUGGUAGCCCAAAGCACUCUGUUUGGAUGCGUGUCACUGAUGACAGACAGGGCAAGAAUAGAGAAAAGCUGAUAUAUGAAGACAGAGUAGACAGAACUGUUAAGGAAGCAGAGGAAAAGCUUAGCGAAGUCUCUCAGUUUUUUCGUGAUAAGACAGAGAAACUGAACGAUGAGCUUUCUUCCCCUGAGAAGAAGUCCCGUAGGUCCGACUUUAGGGAAACACGAUCAGGGCCUAGCUCUACGCACAGCAGUCCUGAAAGAUCAGCAUACAGGAAUGGGGGCAGUGGUGAAGAAUGUAGAGACCGUUUCAGAGACAGGUUUGGCUCCAAUGAUAGAAAAUGUGCUAGUUUACCAAGCAGCCCAGAGAGGAGAGUGCUGCUACAAUAUAAUGAUGACAAUAGAAAACCAGGGGAUGGCAUCUCACAGGGCAAUGUGGGUGAUGCCUCCAAACCUUUUCAAAUGUCAUCCUCCAAAGUCAGCGCUGUUAGGCUACAUUUUGAACAAGAGGCUCAAAAGCAAGACACGGGUCCACAAUGGGGACACACAUCAAAUCCCCCAGUAAGAAAACUCCUGGAAAGUAAGCUGCCUGUGUAUCAGGUUUUUGCAGGCUCAAAUAUACCCAAAUCACCAGACAGUCCAGGAUGUACAAGGAAGGUUCUAGAAAGUGAGGUAAGAGGAUCUAGUGGACCAAGCCCCAGUGCUAAUAGGUAUAUUUACUCAUCUCCUAAACACGGCACAAACGGAAAUGAACAGGAAGAAAAAAAGUCCUUCAAAACUUGGGAAUGUCAUGGAAAUGGAAACUAUCAACCCCAAGUGUCAAUUCACAAAGACCACAAUUCACAAAGAGAACAGCAGAGUUUUAGAGAUGGAAUAGCCAGAAAAGAAGAGACAACCAAGAAAAUAAUUUACACAGAGGUUGUGGUCCGAGAAAACCCAAAUAGUACCGGUGGUCUAAAAAAAAACUCGGAAUCGCAAAUUCCUGUUAGAAUGCCAUCUAGUUUCUCAGAAAAUCAUCAAUCCACUUCAUUAAAAUUUGAUACCUCUGUUAAACUGUGUGAAAGGCCAGGGUUACAAAUACCUACUUUAGCUAGAAAUAGGUUACACAGCGGCUCUGAAUCCAGAAAAUCCACAAACGGCUCAUCAGUAGAAAAAUCAUCUGAUUCUUUUGAUAGUAGUCAGUCAACUGUAAUGUGUAAUGGUAUAGAUAGCGAUCAAGUAGGGUACUUGGAAAACAUUGUUACUGAGGGUUACAAAGACAUCAAACCUUUGCCAGUUUAUGUUAGCAUCCAAGUGGGCAAGAAAUACGAAAAAGAAACAGCUGAGAAGCUGGGAACAUACAAAAAGAUAGUGAGUCACGAGAGCCGAACAGUGCAUGAGACACGGGGAGCGCGUUACACCAUUAAACAAAAACAGACCCCAUCUCCUCAAGGCAGCCCAGAGGAUGACACUCUAGAGCAAGUUACUUUCAUGGACAGCUCUGGCAAAAGUCCUGUUACUCCUGAGACACCAAGUUCUGAGGAGGUGAGCAUUGCCUCCAGAACGCCAGAUUCCGUGAUUGGAUACAUGCCCGGAAUGCCCAUUCCAAUAGCAGAGGAGUCUGAAGAAGAUGAAGGAAAGACCUUCAUCUACAAGGAGUCUCUGCCAAAGAAAACCAAGCCUGCCUCAUCAGAACCCUCCAACCGAAAUCAGGAAACACUGAAACGACACAAAGAGAAAAGGGUCGCUUACAUUGAGUUUCCCCCCCCUCCGCCUUUAGAGGCAGAGCAUUCUGACCCUGAUAAGAGGGGAUCUUGUGCCUCCUCAGAGGCUGAGACAGAGAUGAUGGAGGUGAACCUCCAAGAGGAGCAUGAUCGGCACCUCCUUGCAGAGCCCAUCAUCAGGGUUCAACCUCCCUCUCCGGUUCCACCUGGAGCAGACGACAGCGACUCUAGCGACGAUGAGUCUGUCUUCCAUCCCAUUCCCAACAAAAAGUACACCUUCAAGAUGAAGGAAAAGGAGGAAGGAGAGAAGCGUCUAAAACCCCAAAAGCCUGAGAGGAACGGAAACAACAAGGAGUCAGUCACGAAUGUCGUUGAAAAAGAAGAGGAUGUAGACUUAGAGAAAAAUGGCAACGACCAGUCAAUCACAGACUGCUCCAUAGCCACAACUGCUGAGUUCUCUCAUGACACAGAUGCCACUGAAAUAGACUCUCUCGAUGGCUAUGACCUUCAAGAUGAGGAUGAUGGAUUGAGUGAACAAGACCCUAAAACAUCAAGCCUGUCCAAUGACGGCAAGACAUGUGAUCGUUCCUUUAGUCAAUCAAAGCUUGAAGUCAUAGAGGAGGAGAAAACACCAAGUGAGGAUGGAGGGGAUAAUGGGAAAGCAAACUCAGACCAAAACACCGGAGAAGAAAAAGACUACACUCUUGAGGGAAGACAUCCAGAUAGACAGGGCGAUAGACAAGACUUUGCAGAUAACUAUUUUCGUUGUCAACUCGAAGAGGAGUUAAACUCUACCUUCAAAACAGUCGCCACGAAAGGCUUAGACUUUGACCCCUGGUCAAGCAAAGGGGGAGAAGGAGAAGGAGUUUUUGAUGCCAAAGCGAGAGAAGAAGAUCCCAAGCCUUUUGGUUUGUCUGUGGAGGACAAAUCGCAAGCCACCACUCCAGACACUACCCCUGCUAGAACCCCGACUGAUGAAAGCACACCGACUAGCGAGCCUAACCCUUUCCCCUUCCAUGAGGGGAAGAUGUUUGAGAUGACGCGCAGUGGUGCAAUUGACAUGAGCAAGCGGGACUUUGUUGAAGAGAGGCUUCAAUUUUUCCAGAUUGGUCCUCAGAGUCCCUGUGAGCGAACAGACCUGCGGAUGGCCAUUGUGGCCGACCACCUGGGACUUAGCUGGACUGAGCUGGCUCGGGAAAUGAACUUUUCUGUCGACGAGAUCAACCACAUCCGAGUGGAGAACCCCAACUCCCUGACAGCGCAGAGCUUCAUGCUGCUAAAGAAAUGGGUCAGCCGGGACGGUAAAAACGCAACGACGGAUGCCUUAACUGGAGUGCUGACCAAAGUCAAUCGGAUGGAUAUUGUGACUUUACUGGAGGGGCCGAUAUUUGACUAUGGUAACAUUUCAGGCACGAGAAGUUUUGCCGAUGAUAACGCUGUUUACCUGGAUCAGGCUGAUGAUUAUCACUGCAUCCUAGCGGAGCUGCAGUCCCCAGCCCAACUGCACUCUGACCCUUCCUUCACAGAGCUCUACUCUGAACCCCCUACCCUCACCAUAGAUCCCGAACCUUCCCCUGUCCAGCUCAAGCCAGACCCUCCUAUCUUCAUCCUCACCCAGUCCGAGUCCUGGGCCGACCACAUGGAGCCUGACUCCUCCAAUAGGAGCCCUUCUAGACCAUAUGAGCUGUCCCUGUACAUUCCCACCCUUGACUUAGAUCCCACCGCUGCCAUGGCUGAAGGUGACCAGGUGCUGAUAGUGGAAGAAGAGAAAAAGGAAGUGGACAUAAGCCUCCAACAGAUGUCAUUCGCUUCCCCUGAACAGUGUGAGGUAGAAAAAGAGGUCAAAAAGCAAGUCUCCUUCUUCUCAUCAUCUUUGUCCUCCCCAUCAUCGCCAUGGCAAGCACAGCAGGACAGCAGACGGGCAGGGGCUGAGGAGGUCGUGAAGGGAGAUGGUGAGGAAGUGGUAGAGGCAGGUGAGAUGGCGGAAAACGGGGAUAAAGUGAUAGAAGAGGGGGACAAUAAGAUGGUCUUGGAGGGGGGUAAGGAGCGAGAGAAUGGGGCUGAGGUGGCGGAAGAGGGGGAUAAUAAGAUGGUGUUGGAGGGGGGUAAGGAGCCAGAGAAUGGGGCUGAGGCGUUGGGGGAGCAGGGAGUGUCUGGUUCCACUGAGGAAAAGGAUGGAGAUGAAAAUGAGAUGACAGAAGACAAGUUGAAGUCGCUGUUGGAGGAUAUUCAUUUGGAGGAAGGCUCAGAGGAAGAGGAGGGCGAGGAAAUGACGGAGGCCAAGGUUCAGGAGAUUCUCAGUCAGGUGAAGCAGGCAGAAAAAGACAUGUGUUCACUUCCAGGUUGGCACAGUGAGACAUUCAGCGUCAACGUGGAGCCGCCCACACCUAGCCGCAGUGUGAGCUCAGACCUGCUAGACCGCCAGGAAAAUAGCCAGGAGAACUCCAGUGACUCCGCCACCUCUUCCUCUAGAGGGGAGCCCGGGAGGUCCAGGCACAAUGGCGAUCACACGGAGCUAGCACCUCAUGACGGGUCACUUCCUCUAUCGCAGGACUCAGCCAACAGAAGAGCUGGACAUGGGAAGGAAGAAGGCGUACUUGUGUCUGAGAAGAAAGUCCAGCAGAGUUUUAGUGAGUCUGGCACUGAUGAGGAACAAACCGUCACCACCAGGGUGUUUCGGCGCCGGGUCAUUCUUAAGGGAGAACAGGCAAAGAAUAUUCCAGGCGAAUCAGUGACAGAAGAACAGUUUACCGAUGAAGACGGUAACAUCAUCACUAGAAAAGUAACUAUCUGCCUCUGCCCUCGUCCUAAAAAUACACCUCUGAAUUAUCAUACCCACCUUCUCAAAGCAUCCUUGAAACUCUCCUCCCAAAACAUCCUAAGGCCUAUCCACUUGUGUUUGUGUGUGUAUCCCGGCCAUACCCUCUCCAUCUUGACCAUGAUCAUUAUCUCCUUCCCUUUUCCCAGGUCAUCAGAAAAGUCAUCAGGCGGGUGUCCAUGCCUGACGACCAGGGCGGGGACAGGGGGAGGUGGGACCGAGGAGACCUCUGGCCUUGCCCUUUCUCACUGGAGGAGGAGCUAGAGCAAGGAGAUGGAGCUAAAAGCAGGAGGAAGGAGGAGAGGUUGGGAGAAAAGAAGCUUCACUCGUAGGGCUAGCUGUGCUCCACCAGGUGUGCAGGAAUUAGUCUCCACGGCAGAAAGUUACACACAACUAGAAACUAAAGGAAAAUAGGACAUUUCAGCCCAAUACUUCCAACGUGUGGUUUUCAAGCGUGAAGAACUUGACCCGUCUGAUUUUAGCAUGAGCAUGAAAAACACUCUCUGUCAAUUGAGGGAUCUGGGAGGUUCUCACCAUGGAAUCUGAAUUCUAAUUGUACAGCUCUCACUUCCUGUGGUCUAUGGACCAGAAGAAUUAUGCUUCCUGUUUGUGACUCGUAACGUGCCAUUGGUGUCAUGAGAGCUUUUGAGGAGCAUUGUGGUGACACUGAAAAAGGACUCCAUUACAGAAAAACUACAAGUGGUCAUGAGAAAAAAAAAACAUUGGUGUCGUGAGAGCUUUUGAGGAUCAUUGUGGUGAGACCGAAAAAGGACUCCAUUACAGAAAAACCACAGGUGCAACUGAACAUACACUGCCCUGUGACCAAAGAUGGCACAAAAGCUAAAUUCUAAUAGUAGGAGAAAGAAACUCAACAAAAUUACACAAAAAGAAGAGGAUCACUUCUGAUCCACCUCCAACACUCGCCUUAUAUUUUCUUUCUUGGACCCAUAAAUGUCAGGUUGUAAAUUGCUGGGGUUUUUGUUUUCCUUUAUAAACCUGAAAAUAACAAGACUUUUUUCUGUAUAGAAAUUACAAUCUGUACAAUUCUAAAAUGAUGAGUUACAAGAUGAUAAUGCAGAGGAGAGAACUUUACAAGUGCUUUCAACAUGAUUAUCAAAAUGGUUCAAGAUUUGAGUGAACUUCACAUGUUGUUGUAUAAUUAAUUAUUAUAGCAGGUAUAACAUUUGUAUAUGAAAAAAGCUGGUUUGAUUUUAACAGAGGAAAUUUCCAGAAAAUCUUCUGCAAAUUUCAGUGAUUCCCAAAAUGGGGAUGUAUCUAAUUCUGCAAAAGCAGUCUUUCAGAGUACUCAUAUUUUCAUGCAUGCCUUUCACAUUAUUUUAAGUAAAAUUUGUACAAGUUUGAAAACACUGUAUUAAAAAUUAGAAUUAAAACCCUUUAUCUGUGUACAACUAUAGCCUUAACAUUUGUCACCAGUUUUAUAUUUGAAAUUAGAAAAGAAAAAAAAAAAACAUAAGUGUUUUUUUUUGUCUCGGACGAGGAACAGUAUGAAGAAAGUUUGUUCUAUAGCUUCUUGAGGAUUACUGCUUCUCUAUGUACAACUGAAGGGCGGCUUCUGCAGGGUUUAUCAUAAAUGCUAUGAGAAAGGAGUAAUCUGAAUGUAUAUGCUAGAAGACUGUCUCGCUGUAAAAUUAUAAAUGUAUUGUGUGUAUUGGCUAUAAGGUGUAGAGGUCGCUGUAAGACUGUAAGACUGUUUGUAAUCAUUUUAGCAGUGUGUCAAUUGGUUUUAUAAAGGCUGCUGUGGUUUUAAAGAUGGGGUUUUGGGGUUUUUGGGAAGUAUUUCCUUAAGUUUAAUCUACUCACAUAAAGACACACAAGGCAUUAUUUGAUUGUAACUCUUGAUAGCAUAUGUAUGACAAAAACACUGGAUGGUCAAAACGAUUAUUUAAGCAUAAAAUAAAUUGUGUUGAACUCUGAAAUUGUGUGAUCUUUUUAGGCUUGAGAAUCUAUAUGCAGUGUCUAACUAGCAUUGUUUUGAUAGCUCAUUGGCGAUUACUUUGCAUUAGAUCUUCUCUUUGUAUUGGUUAGACUAGAGGCCCAUGUAGUUCAAGUGUGGUGUUAUUCUGGUGUGAAGGCUCAGACUUAGUGUGAUGAUGUUUAUGCUGUGGACAUGACAACCAUGUAAAGGACUUCAUUUCUUUUGACAAGUGAAGCAAUUUAGGGUAUUGUAUCAUAUAUCCUAUCUUACAUGUCAAUCAGGGGGUAGAGGGUAAUUUGAUAUGGUUGAACUAUCAAUUUUGUCAAUUUUGUUUGAUAUGUGUUUUCAACUGAGCAAAUUUUUUCGAUGUACAAUUCUUACUAACAGAGUGAAGCCAUUGAAAUGUAACUAUUCUAGCACUUUGGUUAUUCAAAGUCUUCUUUUAGAGGCUAUAGAAGCAAUGACGCCACCACAAUGUUUCAAGCGUCUUAAAAAAAAUGUAAUUUAAAAACAAAAUAAAUAAAAAAGCAUUGGUUUUGAAAUA